rnacentral:rRNA from 1 species
GGGGCGGCUUACACAUGCAAGUCGAGCGGGGGAAGGUAGCUUGCUACCGGACCUAGCGGCGGACGGGUGAGUAAUGCUUAGGAAUCUGCCUAUUAGUGGGGGACAACAUCUCGAAAGGGAUGCUAAUACCGCAUACGUCCUACGGGAGAAAGCAGGGGAUCUUCGGACCUUGCGCUAAUAGAUGAGCCUAAGUCGGAUUAGCUAGUUGGUGGGGUAAAGGCCUACCAAGGCGACGAUCUGUAGCGGGUCUGAGAGGAUGAUCCGCCACACUGGGACUGAGACACGGCCCAGACUCCUACGGGAGGCAGCAGUGGGGAAUAUUGGACAAUGGGGGGAACCCUGAUCCAGCCAUGCCGCGUGUGUGAAGAAGGCCUUAUGGUUGUAAAGCACUUUAAGCGAGGAGGAGGCUACUUUAGUUAAUACCUAGAGAUAGUGGACGUUACUCGCAGAAUAAGCACCGGCUAACUCUGUGCCAGCAGCCGCGGUAAUACAGAGGGUGCGAGCGUUAAUCGGAUUUACUGGGCGUAAAGCGUGCGUAGGCGGCUUAUUAAGUCGGAUGUGAAAUCCCCGAGCUUAACUUGGGAAUUGCAUUCGAUACUGGUGAGCUAGAGUAUGGGAGAGGAUGGUAGAAUUCCAGGUGUAGCGGUGAAAUGCGUAGAGAUCUGGAGGAAUACCGAUGGCGAAGGCAGCCAUCUGGCCUAAUACUGACGCUGAGGUACGAAAGCAUGGGGAGCAAACAGGAUUAGAUACCCUGGUAGUCCAUGCCGUAAACGAUGUCUACUAGCCGUUGGGGCCUUUGAGGCUUUAGUGGCGCAGCUAACGCGAUAAGUAGACCGCCUGGGGAGUACGGUCGCAAGACUAAAACUCAAAUGAAUUGACGGGGGGCCCGCACAAGCGGUGGAGCAUGUGGUUUAAUUCGAUGCAACGCGAAGAACCUUACCUGGCCUUGACAUACUAG